UACGUAGGGUGCGAGCGUUGUCCGGAAUUAUUGGGCGUAAAGAGCUCGUAGGCGGUCUGUCGCGUCGGUUGUGAAAGCCCGGGGCUUAACCCCGGGUCUGCAGUCGAUACGGGCAGGCUAGAGUUCGGUAGGGGAGAUCGGAAUUCCUGGUGUAGCGGUGAAAUGCGCAGAUAUCAGGAGGAACACCGGUGGCGAAGGCGGAUCUCUGGGCCGAUACUGACGCUGAGGCACGAAAGCGUGGGGAGCAAACAGG
rnacentral:rRNA from 1 species